UAAGAUGUACAAGGUUUAAACUAAUAAUUAAGCCUUGACAAGGCUUUGUAAUAUAUUUUACUAACAUCUU
rnacentral:tRNA from 1 species